GAACCUUGUGCCUCAACCACAAGUCUGUUCUUCUGAAGGAGAGUUUCCUUGUUAAAGUAACUCUUUUCCCGAGGAUACUAGGAUCCCAGGUGUAUUGUGCUUUCAUGGACUUUUGGGGAUGGCUUCAGAGAUGGAUCCUGAGCUGGUCACUGACCGGUGCCAACUGGAUGCUUGUCCAGAAGAAAGUGGACUAUAAAGAGCAACUCACUUCUCUGUCAGUUAAUGAGGACCCUUGGUCAUAUUCCAUCCUCAUUUGGUUUUGAGCCAGCAACUUAAAGAG